UUUUGGAUUUGUAUGAUGCAUC
rnacentral:miRNA from 1 species